rnacentral:rRNA from 1 species
GUAGGGUGGCAAGCGUUGUCCGGAAUUAUUGGGCGUAAAGCGCGCGCAGGGCGGUCCUUUAAGUCUGAUGUGAAAGCCCACGGCUCAACCGUGGAGGGUCAUUGGAAACUGGGGGACUUGAGUACAGAAGAGGAAAGCGGAAUUCCAAGUGUAGCGGUGAAAUGCGUAGAGAUUUGGAGGAACACCAGUGGCGAAGGCGGCUUUCUGGUCUGUAACUGACGCUGAGGCGCGAAAGCGUGGGGAGCAAACAGGAUUAGAUACCCUGGUAGUCCACGCCGUAAACGAUGAGUGCUAAGUGUUAGGGGGUUUCCGCCCCUUAGUGCUGCAGCUAACGCAUUAAGCACUCCGCCUGGGGAGUACGGCCGCAAGGCUG